UUUGACCUUCAACCCUGAUUGUUUCUCUUCUGAUCAUCAACAUCCUGCCACAGAAAUGGCAACCAGGCUCUGUGAUCCAUCAGACAGCAAAGAUGGUCAUGUCCAUGACACCGGCUUUGGAUGUGCUCAUGAGAGGAAGACUUAAAAGCAGGACCAAUCAAUUGACCAACAAGCAAUUUUUGGAGCAGUUUGCUCAACACAUGGAUGAGAGUCAUGUGAAAAUUUCAGCCCUGAAUAAAAAAGUAAGCUUCAGAUGAAUUUUAUCCACAUGUAAAGUAUAUGCCUCUGGAGAGUUUGUAUUUGUCAUAAUCCAUGUGUUUGUCCAUUUUACAUUAGAGACACUAAAGAAAAAAUUAGAAGAAUCGAAAGAAUGCUUUCUUCCUCCCAACUGGAACCUGAAGGUGAGAAACAGAAAUUAGUAAUUGGCAAAUUUCCCAGAAUUGUAUGAAUACUGCUCGAUACUGUCAUACUGUAGAUGAGUGUGAUUAAUUUCAGUUACUUUCAGAAUGUGAAGCUUUAAUGGAAGCUAUGGCUGAAGUAGUGCACUGCUGUU